AGUACUGGAAGGAUUGCUGGAGCUGGUGAAAAGGAAAAUCAAGAGUGCCAGACCCGAGAGAAGCAGCUUGAGAGCGCGAGAGGGAAACAAGUAGCUCAUCACAACUUAUGGAAGAAGAAAGCAGAACUGAGGCUC